rnacentral:rRNA from 1 species
UACAGAGGUCUCAAGCGUUGUUCGGAUUCAUUGGGCGUAAAGGGUGCGUAGGCGGCGCGUUAAGUCGGGUGUGAAAUCUUGGAGCUUAACUCCGAAACUGCAUUCGAUACUGCCGUGCUUGAGGACUGGAGAGGAGACUGGAAUUUACGGUGUAGCGGUGAAAUGCGUAGAUAUCGUAAGGAAGACCAGUGGCGAAGGCGGGUCUCUGGACAGUUCCUGACGCUGAGGCACGAAGGCCAGGGGAGCAAACGGG